CCUACGUGAGGCAGCAGUGGGGAAUCUUCCGCAAUGGGCGAAAGCCUGACGGAGCAACGCCGCGUGAUCGAAUGAAGGCCUUCGGGUUGUAAAGAUCUGUUGACAGGGACGAAUAAGCCAUGCGAAUAGUUUGGUGUAUGACGGUACCUGUUUAGAAAGCUCCGGCUAACUACGUUCCAGCAGCCGCGGUAAUACGUAGGGAGCAAUCGUUGUCCGGUAUUACUGGGCGUAAGGGGCGCGUAGGUGGGUGCUUAAGUCAGGUGUGAAAACUCGGGGCUCAACCUGGUGACUGCACUUGAAAUGGGGUAUCUUGAGGGCAGGAGAGGAAAGUGGAAUUCCGGGUGUAGCGGUGAAAGGCGUAGAUAUUAGGAGGAACACCAGUGGCGAAGGCGACUGUCUGGACUGUACCUGACGCUGAGGCGCGAAAGCGUGGGUAGCGAACGGGAUUAGAUACCCCUGUAGUC
rnacentral:rRNA from 1 species